rnacentral:lncRNA from 1 species
AGACAACCUGCGGCGGCGGCGAGAGAGCACCGGGAUUCGCAGCCUAGCAGCCGAGCCAGACUCCCUGCGCCGCUGCCAGCCGGCUGGGGGCGGGGAGGGGGUCGCCUCCCAGGGGUGGGGACAGAGGGGGUGUGUUGAAAGGAAGAGGCUCAAUUAAAACCAACAAGAGCGCUUUCCUCCGUGCGGGGCAGGGGCGUGCGUUUGCGUCAGAGGGCGCGCGGGGGGCGGGGGCAGCCGAUGCUGGGGACUGCACCCGGGGGCUGGGGGGUCUCGGAAGCGAGGAGGCCUUGCCUAGCUGGGCUGGCCCGGGGUCAGGCCCUGUAGGUGAGGGCCAAGGCGAGACGGGAUGACAGCUGAGCCUGCCCGGGAGCAGAGGCGCCCACCCAUCCUUACUGUGGGCUCUCCGUGCCCCCACAGAGCUUUCAAACUUGAAAGAGGCCCCUGGGACCCGGCGUGACCCUAGCGGUGGGGAGAAGUUGGGCCCGCGAGGCCUCAGGCGAAGCCGCGGGCUCCUCCGGAAGGAAGGAGGAGGGUGAAGUCCCCUGUCCUAGUCCCAGGGGUGGGAGUGGGAAGCUGUUGGUGGUGAUGCCCGGAGCAGCGGAAGCCCGCGGCUUUUCGGAGGAGGGGAGCGGCUCGCACUCCUACGGGGCAUCCUUGCCAACUUUCUGUCACAAGAGGGGGCGGGGAGAAACCAAGGCUUUUCGAGGAGGGCGCUGUCCCCCUCUGGAACUCGUCCGGCCUGAGUGGCACUUAGAGCUCAGUUUCUCUUCGGAAGCCUGUGCUCCCCGACCGCGGUUGCACACCCACAGGGCGCCCCACUUGUGCUCAUAGCCCUGCCUCCAGCAAAAAUGUCUUCCCUAGAGGCACUGAGAGGUCAGCUUAGUUCCUGGGAAGCCCUUUCUUUCUUUCUUCAAGGCUCUCUUUUGAUACUGGUCCCAAUUGGCACACUUGUCCUGGGCCUAAUGCGACCCACACUCAACCAGGAAAUAAUGAUAUCUGUUGUUGUGGGGUAGGGUACCUAAUAGAAAACUGAUCAUAGUUUUCGAGAGUACUUAGAUCCCCCAAUUGGGAAAUCCUACAUACUUGUCCAGGCACGCUCAGCUGCAGGAGCAGAAAACGCAGUUGUAGUGUCCACGUUUCUUUCACCCACCCCCUCUUCUUCAGAUCUCUCUCCCUCCCUUCUAGGCCAGGCCUUUCACCUCGGAACCUUAAGCUGAGUCUGGACGUGGUUCUUGGACUCGGACCGCUGUGGCUCUUGCCUCAGCAUCCUACCCGAGGCCUCCAGCCAGGCCCACAGGGGCUCAGCCCUCUCCAGGGUCUCUCUUUCGGUUUGGCGGGUCUGGGAACUGUAAGGGCCUUGCCGGGGCCUGGGCUCCCGGGAGCCUCCCUUCCUUCCUCUGCCUUCCUGGUUCCCACAGACCUGUUCAGUGCACACUAGAUCUUUAGUGUAGUUCCCCAAAAAGGCGAUGAGAAGGUACCGCUCCGCUUGGGGAAAGGAAUUAGGCUGUAAGCCUAUAGUACCCCUUGCGGGCUGCUAGCAUCAAGCUCAGCGUUAAUCACGUUUUAAAAGACAUACCAGACAAAGCUUGAUCUCUCCCAGCUUGCCACCCAGUAAAUUGUGAUCUGGUGAGAGAGGAAGAGAAGCACAGAUCGGUUUGGCUGCACAUUCAGGGUUGACUUGCGUUCCAGGCCCCAGAAUCCGGAUCUAAGCGGACUGUCUGUCUGUUAACAUAUCCUCUCCCUCCAUAUCUUUCUUACCACGAGGCUGAACCAUUUUUCACUAAUUCUAUGGGCUUUUUUUGAUAUUGAUAUCUUGGUCUCCCGAAAGUCAUUCAUUUUAGCUUUUUGGUAAGUCACACUGAACAAAAGUGGCCUUGUAAAAACAUUUUCUAAAUCUAGUUCAAGAGCCAUGGGACCCUACAAAUGAUCAGAUAUGUGUAGGAAAUUCUCUUUUAUACCUCUUCCCUACCUCAAAAUCGUUAAAAAUGGUAUUAUUCUGUUUAGCAAGACCACAGAACAGAACUAACCCCGUUUUAUCGAGCCCAUCUGGAGAGAUGAACAUGCCUGCAAUCAUUGAGAAAAAGGGAUGAUGUGGUGGCCCAGGGUCAUGACUGGAUGUGUGAACAAGGGACAGGGACUGAGAAACGGAAAUACUACCAUCCUCCAGCCAAUCUGUUGGGAGGACUGCUUGCAGAGGACUCGUGCUCCAGAUGUUGCACUAGAGGCGCUGCAAGUGUGAGCAGCAGGUAGAUGAAACUCAAGAGAAAAGGUGUGGAUAAAUGAAACUAGCCCAUGAUGAACCUGUUUUCUCCGUGACCACAAUAUUAACCAGGAUGAAUGGCGGUGGCAGUGGGCCUGCAUCACAGGUUGCAGCAGAUGUUCUCAAUAUUUCUAUUAAAAUUUCCUUAUUUCCAUAUGCAAGAGGAGCCCCAGAGCUGCAUCCUUAUGGUAGCUACCAUGCCGUGAUGUAAGCUGCCAUUCACUGGGGAGCUUUGGCAAUAGAAUUGGCUAGAUCAGGAAGCCUAUGUCAACUAUGGAACAACAACUUGCAGCUCAUCUCUAUUGAUGAUGGAAUCUCGCUAUGUCACCAGGCUGGAGUGCAGUGGCGCAACCUCGGCUCAGCGCAACAUCCGCCUCCCGGGUUCAAGUGAUUCUCCUACCUCAGCCUCCUGAGUAGCUGGGAUUACAGGAAUCUAAUGACCAUUGAACUGUGGCCAUGACUUCAAUUACAAGUAUUUUCUUCACUAAUGUCAGACUGUGGGCCUUUGUAUAUACACUUUUAACAAACUUUUUGGAAGUGCAAUACAUAUCGCAACAACUUCUCAAUGCUGAAUCAUAGUAUUGGAAGACAUUUUAAGCAACAAUUAAACUCAACUUAUUUACUACCAAUAAUGUACAUAAGUCAGCUGAAGUGAGGAUAACAUGAAUAGCACAAAUACAUUAUGAUUGCUGCCUGGCCAACAGUAAUUAUAAGAAACUGUCAGUUUUGAGAUGUGUCUUGAUUUCAGAGAUGUUAAAAAAGUUUGUAAGUUACCAUUGAUAAAAUAUGAGUUUGCUUCCACAAAUAUUCUUUCUUCUGUCCUUCUGGAACUCAAGAGUAAACAUAUAUUAGAUUUUCUCACCAUUUCAUGCAUGCUGGUUCCUAGGCUACUCUCUGAGUCAUUUUUUUUUUCUUAUCUGCCCUCCAGUUCACUAGUUCUGUCAUUUUCUGGGUCUGAUCUGCUGCAAAUGCAAUACAUUGAGUUUUAAAUUUCAGUCAUUGUGUUUUCAUUUCUAGAAAUUUCAUUUGACUCUUUCUCAAAUUACUUUUCCAUUUUUUUUGUAGUUUCCUAUCCCUGGAGAUAUUUUCAAUCAUGCCAUUUAAUUUUUUAAAUACGCAAGUGUAGUUUUAUAAUUUGUGUCUGAUAAUUCUAAUAUCUGAAGUCUUAGUAGGUCUGUUUCAGUUGUCCUGUAAUUAUGCAUGUUUUUGCCCAUGUUGCUUUGUUUCCUUGUAUGCUUGGUUAUCUUUCUUACUGCCCUUGCAAAAUUAUUUGGAGAGUCCUGGAGGCUUAAAUGAAGAUAACUUUUAGGAAUAAUUUGCAUUUGCUUUUGCCGAGGAUCUUGGGAUCAUUUCAACCAAAAUCUUAGCUUGAAAUUCCGCAAUCAAUCAAGGUGAUGAGAACCUGGUCAGUAAAUCCUAAUGAGGGCCAGGCUGUGGCCAAAGAUUUUUAGACAGAUGUUUCCCUCCUUUGCCAUUUCUCUUUUCUUUCCUCCUCUGCUCCUCUUAGUGUCCAGACAACCUUCAUGGAAGUCCUUGGGGUGGGUGGGAAAUGAGGACGGCAGGUUUCAUUCUAGGUAUAGCCCUUUGAGGUCUAACUUAAUGCAGAGAGAGUUUUCUGGUCUAUGUGCCACCUUACAUGGGAUCUUGAGCCUUGAUUUCUAAACCCCUUGCCUUUGAUGUUUCAGAAUUGAAGCUUAAAUUUGCCAACAGGCAAAUGUCCUCAAGGCAAAUUGGCUUAGGUGUUCGAUAUUCUUCUUACCAGAAAGGUAAACUUGGGUUUUUUACUUCACCCAGGAUUUGGCAUGACAGUUCCCCAUUAUCUUGUCAGCUUAGUGCUUUAAGUGAUUGCAUUUAAAAAAAUUCUGCAUUUUCAGUUUUUAGCAGGAGGAAUGGCCUCAACUAGUGGUUUUCAACUGGGGAUGAUUUUUUUCCCCUAGGGGACAUUUGAUAAUGUUUGGAGAUGUUUUAGUUGUUAGAACUGGGGUUGGGGGAACUACUGUCAUCUGGUGGGGAGAGACCGGCAAUGCUGUUGAUCUUACUAUAAUGCACAGGCCACCCCCAACAACAAACAAAUUACAUAGCCCCAAAUAUCAAUAAUGCCAAGGUCCAAAUAACCUAACCUUCCAUUACUGAAAAUAGAAGUUCAAGAAGAUAGUUUAUAAUUUAAAAAUUUUUAGGUCUUAAUAAGUUGUCAUACUUUCACAGGUUUUAUUUCAUACUAAGUAAUUUAUUUCAAAUUUUACAUUCCAAUUACAGAAAAUUUUCUAAGCCAGUUUUUGUUCUUCAUGAGUAUUACUAUCAAGGUCACAUUUUUCAUCUAGUAUGUUUUACCCUGGUACUUGUUGGCAGGGUCAGGACUAAGGUGAGAUGCGCAAGGCAUUUGCCUCACACAAAAUGCACAAUGAAUAAAAUGUCAAAACUUUAAAUAAAGACAGAAUCACUAAAAGUACUUUGCCAUAUUGGAACCUGAGGCAAAAAGAAAAAUAAGUAAUAAUAUUUAAAAUUUUGAUCUCUUGUUCAUUGUAGAUUUUUACAUUAAUUUUGAUUGUUUAAAACAUUGCAUUAAAAUAUUAUUUAAUGUG